rfam:Hordeum vulgare subsp. vulgare, WGS project CAJW01000000 data, contig: morex_contig_61012
UAUAUACUCCAUCUGCACGAAAAUAUUUGUCCUAAAAAUAAAUGUAUCUAGACUUAUUUUAGUUAUAGAUACAUCCAUUUUAUACAUUUCUAAAACAAGUAUUUUUGGACGGAGGGAGUAUAUA